rnacentral:piRNA from 1 species
UGGCCUAUCCUUGUCUACAGCACCGUG